ACGAACGCUGGCGGCGUGCUUAACACAUGCAAGUCGAGCGGUAAGGCCCUUUCGGGGGUACACGAGCGGCGAACGGGUGAGUAACACGUGGGUGACCUGCCCUCAGCUCUGGGAUAAGCCUGGGAAACUGGGUCUAAUACUGGAUAUGACUCCACGGUGCAUGUCGUGGGGUGGAAAGCCUUGUGCGGCUGAGGAUGGGCCCGCGGCCUAUCAGCUUGUUGGUGGGGNGAUGGCCUACCAAGGCGACGACGGGUAGCCGGCCUGAGAGGGCGACCGGCCACACUGGGACUGAGACACGGCCCAGACUCCUACGGGAGGCAGCAGUGGGGAAUCUUGCGCAAUGGGCGAAAGCCUGACGCAGCGACGCCGCGUGAGGGAUGACGGCCUGGUGUAAC
rnacentral:rRNA from 1 species